rnacentral:snoRNA from 1 species
AUAGGUUGUGGGGAAUGACAAAUCUGAAAGAAAAUCUAUGUUGAUCAUAUUUGAUUUUGCCUUUUUGGGGGUAAAAUCAUGACAGCAUGAAAUGAACAGGU